AAACAUAUAGCAUAUUAUCUUGUGCUUUAUUAUAUUCAAUUAAAUUGGAAUAAGUAAGAUAUGAACCCAAAUCCAUAUCAAAACAUAAAAGGUUGUUUGAUUGGAUCCUUCUUAAUCAGAAUUAGCGUAGAGAUCUAUCAAAUUCUGAUAUUCAGAACACAAAUAAAUACUGGAAAAAAAAAAGAGAAAAAUCCCAUUUCGAACAUAAAUUUUCAUUUUUAUGAUUUUACUCAUCAACUAUGAAUUCCACUUCCUUUAUCAGACCCGCUAAUCAAUCCUUCUCUUCUCAGCUUCUCUUCCUUGGAUUUUCUACAAAAAAUAAUCCAAGAAUUCACCUCCAAAGCUAUACAAGCACCCACCAAUGUAGACAAGCACAAGCAAUAUCCCAACUUAGGAUAAGACCCGCUCUCUCCCAUUACUUCAAAUCCUUGAAAAACAUUCACAACUCCAAGCACCACACAAGCAUACCCUACAAAAUGGUGGUAAGAUUUCCAAUACUUUCUAUACUUGUUUGUAGUCUUUGGCCUAAACAG
rnacentral:misc_RNA from 1 species